rnacentral:rRNA from 1 species
AUUGAACGCUGGCGGCAUGCCUUACACAUGCAAGUCGAACGGCAGCACGGACUUCGGUCUGGUGGCGAGUGGCGAACGGGUGAGUAAUAUAUCGGAACAUACCUUGUAGUGGGGGAUAACUAUCCGAAAGGAUAGCUAAUACCGCAUACGAUCUAAGGAUGAAAGCGGGGGAUCUUCGGACCUCGUGCUAUAAGAGUGGCCGAUAUCUGAUUAGCUAGUUGGUGAGGUAAAGGCUCACCAAGGCGACGAUCAGUAGCUGGUCUGAGAGGACGACCAGCCACACUGGAACUGAGACACGGUCCAGACUCCAACGGGAGGCAGCAGUGGGGAAUUUUGGACAAUGGGGGCAACCCUGGUCCAGCAAUGGCGCGUGAGUGAAGAAGGCCUUCGGGUUGUAAAGCUCUUUUGUCAGGGAAGAAACGGUUGUGGCUAAUAUCCAUGGCUAAUGACGGUACCUGAAGAAUAAGCACCGGCUAACUACGUGCCAGCAGCCGCGGUAACAC